rnacentral:tRNA from 1 species
GGGCGUGUAGCUCAGUGGAUUAGAGUAAAUGGCUACGAACCAUUCGGUCGGGGGUUCAAGUCCCUCCACGCUCA